rnacentral:rRNA from 1 species
GUCUUAGUGGUCCGCCCCUUCGGGGAGCGGGUCACUGGCCUCCUAUGUUCCUAACGGUCCUCAUCCGCGAGGGUGGGGAAUCAACCGCUAGGAUCGUUUACUUUGAGGAAAUUAGAGUGUUCAAAGCAGGCGUAACUCGCCUCCGAAUACGUUAGCAUGGGAUAAUGGAAUACGACUUCGGUCUUGUUUCGUUGGUUUCGCUUGGCUGAAGUAAUGAUUGAUAGGGACAGUUGGGGGCAUUAGUAUUUAGUUGUCAGAGGUGAAAUUCUAGGAUUUACUAAAGACUGACCAAUGCGAAAGCAUUUGCCAAGGAUGUUUUCAUUAAUCAAGAACGAAAGUAGGGGGAUCGAAGACGAUCAGAUACCGUCGUAGUCUCUACCGUAAACUAUGCCGACCAGGGAUCCGGAGAGUUUGCAUGGAUGACUCCCCGGGCACCUUGUGAGAAAUCAUAAGUGUUUGGGUUUUGGGGGGAGUAUGGUCGCAAGGCUGAAACUUAAAGGAAUUGACGGAAGGGCACCACCAGGAGU